UACGUAGGGGGCUAGCGUUGUCCGGAAUCAUUGGGCGUAAAGCGCGUGUAGGCGGUCCGGUAAGUCCGCUGUGAAAGUCGGGGGCUCAACCCUCGGAUGCCGGUGGAUACUGUCGGGCUUGAGUACGGAAGAGGCGAGUGGAAUUCCUGGUGUAGCGGUGAAAUGCGCAGAUAUCAGGAGGAACACCAAUUGCGAAGGCAGCUCGCUGGGACGUUACUGACGCUGAGACGCGAAAGCGUGGGUAGCAAACGGG
rnacentral:rRNA from 1 species